rnacentral:rRNA from 1 species
UGGGGAAUAUUGGACAAUGGGCGAAAGCCUGAUCCAGCAAUUCCGCGUGUGUGAAGAAGGCCUUCGGGUUGUAAAGCACUUUAGUGGGGGAAGAAACAGCUUGGCCACACCAAGCCUUGACGGUACCCCAAGAAUAAGCACCGGCUAACUCUGUGCCAGCAGCCGCGGUAAUACAGAGGGUGCAAGCGUUAAUCGGAUUUACUGGGCGUAAAGGGUGCGUAGGUGGUUUUUUAAGGCGGAGGUGAAAGCCUGGGGCUCAACCUCAGAAUUGCAUUCGAUACUGGGAAACUAGAGUUCGGUAGAGGGCGGCGGAAUUUCCGGUGUAGCGGUGAAAUGCGUAGAUAUCGGAAGGAACAUCAAUGGCGAAGGCAGCCGCCUGGGCCUGGACUGACACUGAGGCACGAAAGCGUGGGUAGCAAACA